rnacentral:rRNA from 1 species
AUCAGAGGUUGGAAGGAGAAGAAGCUCUCCUUUGGAGGGAGAGAAGUGUUGUUGAAGGCUGUCAUUCAAGCUAUUCCUUCAUAUGCUAUGCUAGUCUUCAAGCUUCCAAAACAAAUUUGCUAUGCGAUAACAACCGCUAUGUCACAGUACUGGUGGGGAGAUGAGGAUGAGAAGAAGCAUAUGCACUGGUUCGCGUGGUGGAAGAUGUGUGUGCCAAAGAGCAAUGGAGGUAUGGGGUUUAGAGAUGUACACUGUUUCAAUCUGGCUCUCCUAGCUAAGCAGUGCUGGAGACUGCUAGCAGAACCAGAUUCUUUAUGUGCCAGAGUAUUGAGGGCAAAGUAUUUCCCGGACGGUGAUUUAUUGAGUUGCUCCCUCAAUAAAGGUAGUUCUUAUACAUGGCAGAGCUUGUGGAGUGGUGUUCAGACUUUCAAAAAAGGUUAUAUAUGGAGAGUGGGAGAUGGCACACAAAUAAGCAUUUGGAGUGAUCCAUGGGUACCCAGCAGCCCAAACAGGAAGGUUAUGACUCCACGAGGUAAUAUCUUACUCACGAAAGUUUCUGAACUUAUGGACGUGGAUAAUGGGUGUUGGGAUGAGCAACUUAUCAGACAUAUAUUCUGGCCCAUUGAUGCAAAUUGUAUUUUGAACAUACCCCUGGCUACGGGGAUGAUGGAGGAUUUUGUUUCAUGGCACUACAACAAAACUGCAAUUUUCUCGGUC